GCCGGGGUGGCGAAAUUGGUAGACGCACCAGAUUUAGGUUCUGGCGCCGCAAGGCGUGCAGGUUCGACCCCUGUCCCCGGUA
rnacentral:tRNA from 1 species